UACGAAGGGGGCUAGCGUUGUUCGGAAUUACUGGGCGUAAAGCGCACGUAGGCGGAUACUUAAGUCAGGGGUGAAAUCCCGGGGCUCAACCCCGGAACUGCCUUUGAUACUGGGUAUCUCGAGUCCGGAAGAGGUGAGUGGAAUUCCGAGUGUAGAGGUGAAAUUCGUAGAUAUUCGGAGGAACACCAGUGGCGAAGGCGGCUCACUGGACCACAACUGACGCUGAGGCGCGAAAGCUAGGGGAGCAAACAGG
rnacentral:rRNA from 1 species